UACACACCGCCCGUCACAUCAUGGGAGUUGGGUUUGCCCGAAGUCACUGACUCGACCGUAAGGGAGAGGUGCCUAAGGUAAGGCCGAUGACUGGGAUG
rnacentral:rRNA from 1 species